GAGAUCUGAUAGCAAGCUGUACUUGUACAGCGAAGUGGUUGAUGCCAUGCUUCCAGGAAAAGUCUCUAAGCUUCAGUUACACAGGAAUCGUACCCGAAACCGACACAGGUGGUCAGGUCGAGUAGACCAAGGCGCUUGAGAGAACUCUGCUGAAGGAACUAGGCAAAAUGGUACCGUAACUUCGGGAGAAGGUACGCUGUUGUUGGUGAUGGAACUCGCUUCCUGAGCUGACGACAGCCGCAGAAACCAGGCCGCUGCAACUGUUUAUUAAAAACAUAGCACUCUGCAAACACGAAAGUGGACGUAUAGGGUGUGAUGCCUGCCCGGUGCUGGAAGGUUAAUUGAUGGGGUUAGCGUAAGCGAAGCUCUUGAUCGAAGCCCCAGUAAACGGCGGCCGUAACUAUAACGGUCCUAAGGUAGCGAAAUUCCUUGUCGGGUAAGUUCCGACCUGCACGAAUGGCAUAAUGAUGGCGGCGCUGUCUCCAGCAGAGGCUCAGUGAAAUCGAAAUCGCUGUGAAGAUGCAGUGUACCCGCGGCUAGACGGAAAGACCCCGUGAACCUUUACUGCAGCUUGACACUGAACUUUGACCUUACUUGUGUAGGAUAGGUGGGAGGCUUUGAAGCUGGAACGCUAGUUCCAGUGGAGCCGUCCUUGAAAUACCACCCUGGUAAUGUUGAGGUUCUAACUCUGUCCCGUGAUCCGGGACGAGGACCGUGUCUGGUGGGUAGUUUGACUGGGGCGGUCUCCUCCUAAAGAGUAACGGAGGAGUA
rnacentral:rRNA from 1 species